rnacentral:rRNA from 1 species
CCUACGGGAGGCAGCAGUGAGGAAUAUUGGUCAAUGGCCGGAAGGCUGAACCAGCCAAGCCGCGUGAGGGAGGAAGGCGCAGAGCGUCGCAGACCUCUUUUGCCGGGGGACAAAAGGCCGGACGGGUCCGGUUCUGAGGGUACCCGGAGAAAAAGCAUCGGCUAACUCCGUGCCAGCAGCCGCGGUAAUACGGAGGAUGCGAGCGUUAUCCGGAUUUAUUGGGUUUAAAGGGUGCGUAGGCGGAAUAUCAAGUCAGCGGUAAAAAUUCGGGGCUCAACCCCGUCGUGCCGUUGAAACUGAUGUUCUUGAGUGGGCGAGAAGUAUGCGGAAUGCGUGGUGUAGCGGUGAAAUGCAUAGAUAUCACGCAGAACUCCGAUUGCGAAGGCAGCAUACCGGCGCCCAACUGACGCUGAAGCACGAAAGCGUGGGUAUCGAACAGGAUUAGAUACCCUGGUAGUC